rnacentral:misc_RNA from 1 species
GAUGAAGAACGCAGCGAAAUGCGAUAAGUAAUGCGAAUUGCAGAAUUCAGCGAGUCAUCGAAUCUUUGAACGCACCUUGCACCCUUUGGUAUUCCGAAGGGUAUGCUCGUUUGAGUGUCAUUGUACUCUCACACUUCUAAUUCCUUUCGGGAUUGGGAGCGGUGGACUUGGGUGUUGCUGCUUUAGUUGUGGCUCACCUCAAAUAAGUUAGUGCAACUCUUGGUUGGACAUAGUACGGCGUGAUAAGUGUCUUCGCCGGCGCCUCUGUAAGGAGGGUGGCCGAUCGGGAGCUCUGUGCUUCAAACCGUCUUCGGACAAUCUUUGACAACUUGACCUCAAAUCGAGUAGGACUACCCGCUGAACUUAAGCAUAUCAUAAGCGGAGGA